rnacentral:rRNA from 1 species
GCCGGGGCCUUGAGCCCCCUAAAGAGUCGUUCAAGACCAGGACGUUGAUAGGUCAGGUGUGGAAGCGCAGUAAUGCGUUAAGCUAACUGAUACUAAUUGCUCGUGCGGCUUGACCCU